GGAGCAUCCACAUAAUCUCAGCAAACAUAGCCUGUAGGAUUGGGCCAAUUAAAAAAAAAAAGAGCAUCCUUUACGUCAACUGUCAUUUUAAUGACAUUGACAGGACAGUAUCCACUCAUUCAUUCGCUGAUUUUGCUCGCUCAUUCAAUCAAUCAUUCAUUCACUCAAUUCUUUUCGAAAUUCCGAGAAAAAAAUCUUGAUUCCGAAAUAUUCGGAAAUAAAAGCAAACAAAUAAUGGUCAUUUUACCGUAUUUACAUUGUUUACCGUAUAAACAAGAUGGUUUCUUAUUAUCACCAAAUGCAUCGUGACUGGUUGCUCAUCCACCAAGUCCAGGGUUUUUUCUCUAGCACGUGAUGAAGCAUUGCAGGCUCUAAGGAUACAGUACCUCCUGCCUGCAAAUCCUUUAUCAGGAACUAUGACAAAGGAGCAACUUCGUCAAAGAAAGGUCUGCCAAUCACAUUUUGAGGAUAAAUAAAUCUAAAACAAUCUAUUUGUUAUGAAUUGUCAUAUUGAUGAAUGGAUGUCCUAUUUUUUAUUUAUCCAUGAAGAAAAUAAUAACAUCUCGGCGACCAUCCAAGCUGUUGCUGAUCAGGUCAUCCAGUAAGUUAAACUGCUAAUAGAGAUAACUUCAAUUCAAUGUUGUUGCCAGAUAAUGCUGUGAGUGAAGAAACUAUAUCCUGCCAUCUACAUCAGAGCCACAUCUGUCAUUAUGGAUAAUAUUAUUGCUGCGUCCUAAGGUUCAGCUUGCAAAUAAACCCAUCAAGCAGAGGCGGUACACACAAACAAAAGGUGGACUCUUUGGUUUUUUUUAAAACGGAGCCCGAAAGCGUAUGAGCUAUUGCGCCACAUAUUAUUUAUUUUGCCUAGUCAACGAUCAAGAAAAUGAAGGUAUUGAGUGAAAAAACUGCCGCAAUGAUACAGCCCCAAAUUUGAUUCCGGCCCAGUGUAUAGUUUUUUUAACUAAAGUUUUUUGUUAUUUUUGCCUCAAGAAU